GGGUGGGAUGAGUAUUCUAAGGCGCGUGGAAGAACUCUCUUUAAGGAACUCUGCAAAAUAGCACCGUAUCUUCGGUAUAAGGUGUGGUUAGCUUUGUAUUAGGAUUUACUCCGAAAGCAAGGAAACUUACAACAAAGAGUCCCUCCCGACUGUUUACCAAAAACACAGCACUCUGCUAACUCGUAAGAGGAUGUAUAGGGUGUGACGCCUGCCCGGUGCUCGAAGGUUAAUUGAUGGGGUUAGCAUUAGCGAAGCUCUUGAUCGAAGCCCGAGUAAACGGCGGCCGUAACUAUAACGGUCCUAAGGUAGCGAAAUUCCUUGUCGGUUAAAUACCGACCUGCAUGAAUGGCGUAACGAGAUGGGAGCUGUCUCAAAGAGGGAUCCAGUGAAAUUGUAGUGGAGGUGAAAAUUCCUCCUACCCGCGGCAAGACGGAAAGACCCCGUGGACCUUUACUACAGCUUGACACUGCUACUUGGAUAAGAAUGUGCAGGAUAGGUGGGAGGCUUUGAGUAUAUGACGCCAGUUGUAUAUGAGCCAUUGUUGAGAUACCACUCUUUCUUAUUUGGGUAGCUAACCAGCUUGAGUUAUCCUCAUGUGGGACAAUGUCUGGUGGGUAGUUUGACUGGGGCGGUCGCCUCCCAAAUAAUAACGGAGGCUUACAAAGGUUGGCUCAGAACGGUUGGAAAUCGUUCGUAGAGUAUAAAGGUAUAAGCCAGCUUCACUGCAAGACAUCCAAGUCAAGCAGAGACGAAAGUCGGUCUUAGUGAUCCGGCGGUUCUGUGUUGAAGGGCCAUCGCUCAAAGGAUAAAAGGUACCCCGGGGAUAACAGGCUGAUCUCCCCCAAGAGCUCACAUCGGCGGGGAGGUUUGGCACCUCGAUGUCGGCUCAUCGCAUCCUGGGGCUGGGGCAGGUCCCAAGGGUAUGGCUGUUCGCCAUUUAAAGCGGUACGCGAGCUGGGUUCAGAACGUCGUGAGACAGUUCGGU
rnacentral:rRNA from 1 species